GGCUACAGAACGAACGCUGGCGGCAGGCCUAACACAUGCAAGUCGAGCGGGCAUCCUUCGGGAUGUUAGCGGCGGACGGGUGAGUAACGCGUGGGAACGUGCCCUUUGCUACGGAAUAGCCUCGGGAAACUGAGAGUAAUACCGUAUGUGCCCUUCGGGGGAAAGAUCUAUCGGCAAAGGAUCGGCCCGCAUUUGAUUAGUUAGUUGGUGAGGUAAUGGCUCACCAAGACAAUGAUCAAUAGCUGAUCUGAGAGGAUGAUCAGCCACACUGGGACUGAGACACGGCCCAGACUCCUACGGGAGGCAGCAGUGGGGAAUCUUGCACAAUGGAGGAAACUCUGAUGCAGCGAUGCCGCGUGAGUGAAGAAGGCCUUUGGGUUGUAAAGCUCUUUUGUAGGGGAAGAUAAUGACUGUACCCUAAGAAUAAGGUCCGGCUAACUUCGUG
rnacentral:rRNA from 1 species